rnacentral:rRNA from 1 species
ACUCCUACGGGAGGCAGCAGUGGGGAAUAUUGUGCAAUGGGCGAAAGCCUGACGCAGCCACGCCGCGUGAGCGAUGAAGGUCUUCGGAUCGUAAAGCUCUGUGGGGGGAGAAGAAGAAAGUCGGUGAAGAGCCGGCCCUGACGGUAUCCCCUUAGCAAGCACCGGCUAACUCCGUGCCAGCAGCCGCGGUAAU